rnacentral:rRNA from 1 species
AACUAACGCUAGCGGCGUGCCUAACACAUGCAAGUCGUACGAGAAAGUCGGCUUCGGCCGGCGAGUAAAGUGGCGCACGGGUGAGUAACGCGUGGAUAAUCUACCCUUGAGUUGGGAAUAACGUGCCGAAAGGUGCGCUAAUACCGAAUAAUACUGAGUGACUAAUGUUGCUUAGUCAAAGAAGGCCUCUGCUUGCAAGCUUUCGCUGAAGGAUGAGUCCGCGUACCAUUAGCUAGUUGGUAGGGUAAUGGCCUACCAAGGCAACGAUGGUUAGCUGGUCUGAGAGGAUGAUCAGCCACACUGGAACUGAGACACGGUCCAGACUCCUACGGGAGGCAGCAGUGAGGAAUAUUGCGCAAUGGGGCAACCCUGACGCAGCAACGCCGCGUGAGUGAGGAAGGUUUUCGGACCGUAAAGCUCUGUCGAGCGGGAAGAAAUGCAUGCUGGCUAAUAUCCAUCAUGCUUGACGGUACCG